rnacentral:tRNA from 1 species
GCUCCUGUGGUAUAACUGGAUAACACGGUGGAUUCCUAAUCCGCAAUUCUGGGUUCGAGUCCCGGCGGGAGUA